UACGGGGGGAGCAAGCGUUGUUCGGAUUUACUGGGCGUAAAGGGCGCGUAGGCGGUCGUGACAAGUCACUUGUGAAAUCUCCGGGCUUAACUCGGAACGGUCAAGUGAUACUGUCGGACUAGAGUACAGAAGGGGCAACUGGAAUUCUCGGUGUAGCGGUGAAAUGCGUAGAUAUCGAGAGGAACACCUGCGGCGAAGGCGGGUUGCUGGGCUGAUACUGACGCUGAGGCGCGAAGCCAGGGGAGCGAACGG
rnacentral:rRNA from 1 species